AUUGAACGCUGGCGGCAUGCCUUACACAUGCAAGUCGAACGGCAGCACGGGGCAACCUGGUGGCGAGUGGCGAACGGGUGAGUAAUGCAUCGGAACGUACCUUUCAGUGGGGGAUAACGUAGCGAAAGUUACGCUAAUACCGCAUAUUCUGUGAGCAGGAAAGCAGGGGAUCGCAAGACCUUGCGCUGAUUGAGCGGCCGAUGUCAGAUUAGCUAGUUGGUGAGGUAAAGGCUCACCAAGGCGACGAUCUGUAGCGGGUCUGAGAGGAUGAUCCGCCACACUGGAACUGAGACACGGUCCAGACUCCUACGGGAGGCAGCAGUGGGGAAUUCUGGACAAUGGGGGCAACCCUGAUCCAGCCAUGCCGCGUGAGUGAAGAAGGCCUUCGGGUUGUAAAGCUCUUUCGGCCGGGAAGAAUCGCACGGGCUAAUACCCUGUGUGGAUGACGGUACCGGAAUAAGAAGCACCGGCUAACUACGUGCCAGCAGCCGCGGUAACAC
rnacentral:rRNA from 1 species